GGGGUUGUAGCUCAGUGGUAGAGCAUUUGCCUAGCAUGCAUGAGGCUCUGGGUUUGAUCCUCUGCAUCACAU
rnacentral:tRNA from 1 species